rnacentral:rRNA from 1 species
CACGUAGGGCGCAAGCGUUUGUCCGGAAUUAUUGGGCGUAAAGAGCUCGUAGGCGGUCUGUUGCGUCGGCUGUGAAAACCCGGGGCUCAACUCCGGGCCUGCAGCCGAUACGGGCAGACUAGAGUUCGGCAGGGGAGACUGGAAUUCCUGGUGUAGCGGUGAAAUGCGCAGAUAUCAGGAGGAACACCGGUGGCGAAGGCGGGUCUCUGGGCCGAUACUGACGCUGAGGAGCGAAAGCGUGGGGAGCAAACAGG